rnacentral:rRNA from 1 species
CCUACGGGUGGCAGCAGUGGGGAAUAUUGCACAAUGGGGGGAACCCUGAUGCAGCGACGCCGCGUGAAGGAAGAAGUAUUUCGGUAUGUAAACUUCUAUCAGCAGGGAAGAAAAUGACGGUACCUGACUAAGAAGCCCCAGCUAACUACGUGCCAGCAGCCGCGGUAAUACGUCGGGGGCAAGCGUUAUCCGGAUUUACUGGGUUUAAAGGGUGCGCAGGCGGAGGUGCAAGUCAGCGGUAAAAUUGCGGGGCUCAACCCCGUACUGCCGUUGAAACUGCAUCCCUUGAGUGCGCGAGAGGUAUGCGGAAUGCGUGGUGUAGCGGUGAAAUGCAUAGAUAUCACGAAGAACUCCGAUUGCGAAGGCAGCAUACCGGCGCGCAACUGACGCUCAUGCACGAAAGCGUGGGUAUCGAACAGGAUUAGAUACCCUUGUAGUC